AUUAUAAUAAAAAAAAUUAUAUUUAAAAAAGAAUAAAUUAAUAGAAAGGUAAACAUGAAUAAAAUAUGUUUUUAUAUUUAAAAAAGGAAAAAAGGGGGUAAAUUCAUAUUAUGAACAGCGAUCGAGUAAAUUAAGAGUAGGGAUCACUCCAUCUGUUCUUGCGCCAUAGCAAGAAUUCAUGGUAGGAGCAGGGAUAUUCUCUUUAGAGAGGGGUGGAAUGUUUUCCCUGCGAGGAGUUUUCUUUUUAUUUUAAUUUAUUAAUAUAUAAUA
rnacentral:misc_RNA from 1 species